rnacentral:rRNA from 1 species
CAUUAAUGAGUUUUGAACGAAGUUGUUCUGGUCUUUCGGGGCAAGUGAACACUUCACUCAAUCCAUCUUACACCUGUGCACCUUUGGGAGAUGACUUUUUAGUAUUUAAGUUGGAUAACGACGGCGAUACUUUCAAGUCUCUUCUUAUUAUACCAAACAACAGUCUUAGAACGUCUUUUUUGCUUGAUGCAAAACAAAUACAACUUUCAGCAACGGAUCUCUUGGCUCUCGCAUCGAUGAAGAACGCAGCGAAAUGCGAUAAGUAAUGUGAAUUGCAGAAUUCAGUGAAUCAUCGAAUCUUUGAACGCACCUUGCACUCCUUGGUAUUCCGAGGAGUAUGCCUGUUUGAGUGUCAUGAAAUUAUCAACUUCUUAGUUUUAUUACUUUGAAGCUUGGAUUUGGAAGUUGCAGGCUUUUGUAGUCGGCUCUUCUUAAAUGCAUUAGCUGCUUGUCCGUGGGUUGGCUCAGAGUGUGAUAAGUAUCUACACUUGGUGGCUGCUUGCUUGGAUGUGGCUUCUAAUCGUCUUCGGACAACUACUUAAGAUCUGACCUCAAAUCAGGUAGGACUACCCGCUGAACUUAA